GAACUUUUACCUAGCUCUGUUAGGAUUAACUUUGGUUUUAAAUGACGGUUAUUGUAAGACAUGGUCUUUCUUCACUUUUUUUAUUAUCAUUUGCAUUUCUUCUUUCUUUCUUUCUCUCUCCUUUUUUUAAGCAUUCAGCCUCUCACGGUAAGGCAAGUUAAACUAGCGUGCGCGAGCUGCUAAAUAUUAGCUGUUUCCAAAUUCAGGGGCUGCAUCCUUCGAAUUGACUUGAACGCUAGUGCAUUGAAAAAAUAGCAUGAGCACGAGGUCAGAGGAAAAGGCAAUGGCGGAUAGUUAUGAAAAUCGCCUGUCGGACCUUUACCACAACUACCAGCAUCUUUAUUGCAUAGUGUGAAACACUGCUAUUACAUUUGGCAACAGAUUGGAUAUUUAUCUGUGAAUUUUAUAUUGCAAGAGUAACGCCACAAAGAAAGCUGCCCCCUUUUUCUGGUUGUUUGUGCCUCCUCUUUAAUACAUGUGACUUGUAUGUGGCAGUGCAAGCGUUGUUCCAUCAGGGAGAGUAGUAGGUACAAAUUAUUGAAACACUGUAGAUUACAUCACCAUUAUGGACCCAGCCAGCGUUAUCUUUGUAUAUGUAAAUUGUCCAUGCACAUUUAAGACUUGGUGUGGACUAAAAACACAUGUUUACAGAUGUCACUCUUCUCAUUUUAAACAGACAGCUGUCAGUUCAGUCACUUUUAGGUGCGAGUUGUGUGACUGCAGUGACC